rnacentral:tRNA from 1 species
GUGGUUGUAGUUUAGUGGUGAGAAUUCCACGUUGUGGCUAUGGAGACUUGGGCUCGAAUCCCAGUAACCACA